GAUUUUCGCAAUGCCCGAAAGGGUGACGAAGCGACGCCGCGUGCGGGAAGAAGGCCUUCGGGUUGUAAACCGCUGUCGGGAGUUAAGAAAUGUAAGGAUGUUAAUAGCAUCUUUGCUUGACUAAGGCUCCGGAGGAAGCCACGGCUAACUCUGUGCCAGCAGCCGCGGUAAUACAGAGGCGGCAAGCGUUGUUCGGAAUUAUUGGGCGUAAAGAGCACGUAGGCCUAUGUAAGUCGGUUGUGAAAGCCUUCCGCUCAACGGGAGAACAGCAUCCGAUACUGCAUGGCUUGAGUGCGGGAGGGGAGAGUGGAACUUCUGGUGGAGCGGUGAAAUGCGUAGAUAUCAGAAGGAACGCCGGCGGCGAAAGCGGCUCUCUGGCCCAUAACUGACGCUGAGUGUGCGAAAGCUAGGGGAGCAAACGGGAUUAGAUACCCCGGUAGUCCUAGCCGUAAACGAUGGGCACUAAGUAGAGGGGUUUUAAUC
rnacentral:rRNA from 1 species